UUAAAGAGAGUUUGAUCCUGGCUCAGGACGAACGCUGGCGGCGUGCCUAAUACAUGCAAGUCGAAACGAACCGAACGAA
rnacentral:rRNA from 1 species